AUUGAACGCUGGCGGCAGGCCUAAUACAUGCAAGUCGAACGAGUGGCGGACGGGUGAGUAAUGUCUGGGAAACUGCCUGAUGGAGGGGGAUAACUACUGGAAACGGUAGCUAAUACCGCAUACCAUCGGAUGUGCCCAGAUGGGAUUAGCUAGUAGGUGGGGUAAAGGCUCACCUAGGCGACGAUCCCUCGCUGGUCUGAGAGGAUGACCAGCCACACUGGAACUGAGACACGGCCCAGACUCCUACGGGAGGCAGCAGUGGGGAAUAUUGCACAAUGGGCGAAAGCCUGAUGCAGCCAUGCCGCGUGUAGGAAGAAGGCCUUCGGGUUGUAAAGUACUGUCAGCGGGGAGGCGUUACCCGCAGAAUAAGCACCGGCUAACUCCGUGCCAGCAGCCGCGGUAAUUC
rnacentral:rRNA from 1 species